UGAGGAAUAUUGGUCAAUGGGCGAGAGCUUGAACCAGCCAAGUAGCGUGAAGGAUGACUGCCCUAUGGGUUGUAAACUUCUUUUAUAAAGGAAUAAAGUCGGGUAUGGAUACCCGUUUGCAUGUACUUUAUGAAUAAGGAUCGGCUAACUCCGUGCC
rnacentral:rRNA from 1 species